rnacentral:rRNA from 1 species
AUUGAACGCUGGCGGCAGGCCUAACACAUGCAAGUCGAACGGUAACAGGGAUCAGCUUGCUGAUUCGCUGACGAGUGGCGGACGGGUGAGUAAUGUCUGGGAAACUGCCUGAUGGAGGGGGAUAACUACUGGAAACGGUAGCUAAUACCGCAUAACGUCGCAAGACCAAAGAGGGGGACCUUCGGGCCUCUUGCCAUCGGAUGUGCCCAGAUGGGAUUAGCUAGUAGGUGGGGUAACGGCUCACCUAGGCGACGAUCCCUAGCUGGUCUGAGAGGAUGACCAGCCACACUGGAACUGAGACACGGUCCAGACUCCUACGGGAGGCAGCAGUGGGGAAUAUUGCACAAUGGGCGAAAGCCUGAUGCAGCCAUGCGGCGUGUAUGAAGAAGGCCUUCGGGUGGUAAAGUACUUUCAGCGGGGAGGAAGGGAGUAAAGUUAAUACCUUUGCUCAUUGACGUUACCCGCAGAAGAAGCACCGGCUAACUCCGU